rnacentral:sRNA from 1 species
AAGGGACCUAGCGUAGUUCGGAUUUACUGGGCUUAAAGAGUUCGUAGGUGGUUGAAAAAGUUGGUGGUGAAAUCCCAGAGCUUAACUCUGGAACUGCCAUCAAAACUUCUCAGCUAGAGUAUGAUAGAGGAAAGCAGAAUUUCUAGUGUAGAGGUGAAAUUCGUAGAUGUUAGAAAGAAUACCAAUUGCGAAGGCAGCUUUCUGGAUCAUUACUGACACUGAGGAACGAAAGCAUGGGUAGCGAAGAGGAUUAGAUACCCUCGUAGUCCAUGCCGUAAACGAUGUGUGUUAGACGUUGGAAAUUUAUUUUCAGUGUCGCAGCGAAAGCGAUAAACACACCGCCUGGGGAGUACGACCGCAAGGUUAAAACUCAAAUGAAUUGACGGGGACCCGCACAAGUAGUGGAGCAUGUGGUUUAAUUCGAAGAUACGCGCAGAACCUUACCAACACUUGACAUGUUCGUCGCGACUCUAAGAGAUUAGAGUUUUCGGUUCGGCCGGACGAAACACAGGUGCUGCAUGGCUGUCGUCAGCUCGUGUCGUGAGAUGUUGGGUUAAGUCCCGCAACGAGCGCAACCCUCACUUUUAGUUGCCAUCAUUAAGUUGGGCACUCUGAAAGAACUGCCAGUGAUAAGCUGGAGGAAGGUGGGGAUGACGUCAAGUCCUCAUGGCCCUUACGUGUUGGGCUACACACGUGCUACAAUGGUAUCUACAACAGGAAGCAAGACUGCGAAGUUAAGCAAAUCCCUAAAAGAUACCUCAGUUCGGAUUGCACUCUGCAACUCGAGUGCAUGAAGCUGGAAUUACUAGUAAUCGUAGAUCAGCGUGCUACGGUGAAUGCGUUCCCGGGUCUUGUACACACCGCCCGUCACACCAUGGGAGUUGGUUCUACCUUAAGGCAAGGUUUUAAACCCUUGACCACGGUAUAGUCAGCGACUGGGGUGAAGUCGUAACAAGGUAGCCGUAGGGGAACCUGCGGCUGGAUUACCUCCUUUCUAAGGAUGAGUGAUAGAGAAAAAUAUCAUUCUAAAUAAUAUACAUCGGUAAUGUUGACCGUCCUCAUUUCUCUUCUUAAAGUAAUGUUUCCUUCUUGUAGGGCCGGUAGCUCAGUUGGUUAGAGCACACCCUUGUUAAGGGUGGGGUCGAAAGUUCGAGUCUUUCUCGGCCCACCAAUAACCUAGAUGGGGGAUUAGCUCAUCUGGGAGAGCGCCUGAUUUGCAUUCAGGAGGUAGCAGGUUCGAUCCCUGUAUCCUCCACCAGGAAACAUUUAGUUAUUAAAACUGUAAAUAAAAAUAAUUUAUAUCAAUAUCUAUAUCCGAACAUUAAAAGUUAUUAUUUAAUGUUCAAAAUAAAAAUUUGAUCACAACAUAGAUAAAUUUUCUGUUAAAAGAAUUUUUUUCUGUGCAUAAAUCAAGCGUUUAAGGGCGUGUAGUGGAUGCCUUGGCACUGAAAGCCGAUGAAGGACGUGAUAUACUGCGAUAAAUUUCGGGGAGCUGUAUGUAAGUUUUGAUCCGAAAAUUU